CUGAUACUGUCUGAGCUUAGGUUCAUCAGGCUUUUACCACUGGGCUUUGUGGUAUCCAUGGAACCGAGUUCCGACGCCACGACGCUGCCAGAAUUAUUAUGUUUCACGCGGAGGCGCUUGCAUGGGCUAGCUUAUGUUUCAGUGGCUUUUACACACAUGGCCAAGGACACUUUUGAACAGUUUAAGACAAAGAUACAUGAAUAUAGUCACAAAACACACACACACACGCAUAAGGAUAUAAACACUUAUUUGUGGAGCUCAGGAUAUAAUGGAAAAUCCUUGAAAAGAAGUGCAGGUCACAUCCUGAGAGGAUCCAGGAGAUUUACAGCUUAUGUUGCUUUGCUGGGCUCCAUGGAGAAGUGGAGGGUUAGCCAAAGACUAAUUGAAUUGAUAAAAUCAAAGACUGCAUGAGCAAAAUCUCUAAACUGGAGAGUCUGAGAGAAAGAGAGUAGAGAGAGAAAGAGUAAUGGAAAGAUUCAUCCAAGUGCCUACAUUAAAUAACAUGAGGACAAGAUAAAACUAUGAAACUAACACUGAACACCAAGUAGGUUCUAGUGAAAUUAAGAUGAUUUGUAUUGAUUCAGAAAGUUAUCACGUGUUCAUGAAUGCCGAUAGCAACAGUGCACCCUGUCUCUGAGUGGACAUACGUUUGCUAACAAACACACAGGACUACAAAGAGACACCUGUUUUAGCCGGCAUGGGAUGCCAACUCUCUCUUCCUAUUUUUACAUUAGUGGGCUAUGACAGAUUAUCAGAUUCCCAAGAGCAACUGCCCCUUAUCCAGCACCCCUUCCCUUCCAUGCUAGACCUAUUGACACCACUGACAUACACACACACACUCACACAUAUGGUCAUUUCACAAAUGCUAUUAAUGUAACGUGGUCUCAUCAGCCCAGGGUGUCCUUUCUCAGUUUAUAAUAAUCUUGUUUAUUAUUAGACUGAAUGUCUGAUGAGGUCAGCACAGGCCUGUUGCAAUAUUCUUUCCUUCAUUCCUGACAUCUCUCUACCUUUUGUCUGUUCUCAAUCUCUUAUUUCUUACCCUAUCCCUUAUGGGGGUCUGGGAAAACCCAGAAAAAGGAAAGAAAAAAAAAAAGGUUGGCUUUGGCCAAAUGUAGUUUUUUUUUCUGUCCUCUAAAGUACUUUGAUACUUCAAAUUUAAGAUGUCACAAAUCUAUUUCAGCAAAAUGAUGUUCAUAUUUUUUUAAAUUUAAUUUAUAAUCAUGCUUUGGCUAUUUGCUGCAAAGAUCAUAUUGGGAAAAUGAGCCAGUUUAACAAAAAACAGUCAGACUGCCUAAAGAUGUCUAAAACCUUGCUAGAGUUUUGUCAACCAGUAAAUGUAACACUUUGAUCAAUUUGGUUAACAUCUAUGGGGCAUAGUGAAAUUGGACAUAAGCUAUAACUGCAACUAAACUUUUGCAGUAACUGUUCAUCAGUCCUGCACAUCGGCUUGGAGGAAUUUGAAUCUGUUCCUCAGUACAGAACAGCUUCAACUCUGGGAUGUUGGUGGGUUUACUCACAUGAACUGCUUGCUUCAGGACUUUAAACAACAUUUCUAUUGGAUUGAGGUCAGGACUAUGACUUGGCCAUUCCAAAACAUUGCCUUUAUUCUUCUUUAACCAUUAUUUGGUAGAACAAUUUGCAUGCUUAGGUUUGUUGUCUUGCUGCAUGCCCCAAUUUCUCUUGAGAUUCAGUUCAUGGACAGAUAUCCUGACAUUUUCCUUCUAGAAUUUGCUGGUAUAAUUUAGAAUUCAUUGUUCCAUCAAUGAUGGCAAGUCGUCUUGGGCCAGAUGCAGCAAAACAGGCCCAAACCAUGAUGCUACCACCACCAUGUUUCACAGAUGGGCUAAGGUUCUUAUGCUAGAAUGUAGUGUUUUCCUUUCUCCAAACAUAUCACUUCUCAUUUAAAACAAAAAUUCUAUUUUGGGCUCAUCCAUCAUCAUUUUUCUGAAGAACAGGACAAACAAGAAACUCAUGAACAACCAUCACAAAACAUAAAAACAUGUACUUGAUCAUCCUGGUGACAACACACAAUAUUAAGAAUCAAGUGUAUGUAAACUCUAUGUGAACUGUUUCACUUGUGUAAAUUCAGUAGUUAUUGUGUCUUGUGGACUAUAUGUAAAGAUCUGUUAUGUGAAAUAGCUUAUUCAGGGCAGUACAAAAUAAAUAAAAUAAACCAAAUUUUUAUGAUCUCUCUUUUUUAUUAUUAACAUUUUGCAGAUUUUGCAAAGCCAAUGUAAAACACACACACACACACACACACACACACACACACACACACACACACACACACACACACACACAAACUACUGUGCAAAAGUCUUAGGCACCUUAUUUUUUUUUAGUACAAACUUUGUUAUAGAUUUUUAUAUAGACUUCUACAAAAACAUGUUAGAUUCCCAAACAUUAGUUUUCCAGCGCAAAAUUAAAUGUUACAGAAAAAUGUGUCAGUAAAAAAAGCAGCAUAUUAAGUGGUAAGAGACGCUUCUCAGACAAAAAAAAACACAACGAAGGCUACUGGAUUUUGCUGCAAAAAUAAGAAGCAAGUGCCACAGUCAAAGUCUCCAGAAGAACUGUGGCUGGUUCUGCAAGAUGCUCAGUAAAACUUAACAGCUAAUUUCCUAAUAAAACUGCACUAAUUCUACCUGAGAUUACUUUAUUUAUUUAUUUUUAAAGCAAAGGAUCAUCACACCAAAUAUUGACUUUGUUUCAUUUAUUAGUUUUUACUGCCCUUUAUAGUAUUUUUUAAAAUGGAGAAACAUUUAUAUAUUUAUAAAUUCACAUUUAAGACACAAAAACAUUUAUUUAUUGAAUGCCCUAACAAGUGCCCUUAGACAUAUAUUAUAAAUUUGUUUUAUGGAAGAUUUUUUCCAUUCUUUUCUCAGUUGAGAGAAAUGUCAAAAUUAGUGUCCGUUACUGAUGUGGUAGAAAUUCCUUUAGGAUCUAAAUUAGUGUGUGCUCUGGUGGCACACACUAAUUCUUUGAACUCAGCCUUACACACUAAUGCCUGUGGCACAAAGGCUGUACUUAGCCAGCCACAGCUCACUCACUGCUGUUUAGCUCUAUCAGCUGUUCAGUUCUAAAAAGCAUUUCUUUAAACUAACAGCAGUGUUCUGUCUUAUGGAGCUGAUCACCCAAUUGGGAUCAUUUGCCAAGACUGCCAAAAUUUUCUCUGAAAGAGUUUGUGUGCAAGCUCAUUAGUUAUUAGCUGCCAGACAGUGAUUUAACUUCCUGUUUGGAGAAACUUAAGGGACUCAUUAAAGUCACUGGAAAUAAUUGCGCCAUUUCAGAAAACAUCCCUUUCCACAUUGCAGGUACUUCUUACUUCUACUUGUGCUACAGGGCACAUGGAACUCUGAGUAAGCAUUGGCUAAAACUUUCUCAACUAACCAGAGUGAGACACAGCAACGCUAUCUAAUCAGCCUGGAGCUAAACAGAGCAGCAGCAGACACCUGAGCUGAGCUUUGCUCAAGGCUGAUAAAUGAUAAAUGCUUGUGCUAUGAGCACAUUGUAUCUUUGCUCGAACUUUAAUCGGUGAGUUGACAUGUUCCUGUACUUUGAAUUAACUAUUCUUAGAUGCACUGGAAUAAAUACUGUAAGGCAUGAGGUUUUCAUGCCAAAUCGAUAGACAUGUCUGUUUAGUGUGCUCUGUUACAGCAUGCAUCCUGUGGAACAUUUGGUAAAGUAGCUCCAUCUGGGAUGAACUUAAUAACCUCUGCCAUUCGCCCCUUCUCUCCCUCUGUCUCCCUUAUACUUUCUGAAUUUUCCUCCUGUUUUUUCACUGUCUCAGUGGUUUUCCAUCAGCCCAUACUAUCAAGCUCUUCGCAUUUCCUGUCUGACCCCAGAACAAUUAAACCCAGCUACUUUCUCUCUAAUUGUUCAUAAGAGGUAUUGGAUGUAGACCUGAAGAAAAAAGCUUUGUCACUGUCAAAAGUUAUAGUAUUACAGCAUAAACAAUGUUGGGGCCCCAUUUUCCCCUCAGAACAAACCACAUCCAAACAGGAAGGUUCAAAAGAGCGACCAGAAAUUUUUAAUAACAAGGACAGAAUGACAGAAUGUGAAAGAGAAAGAAACAGAAGGAGGAAAGUUUUCUUUGUACAUUUAAUUAUCUGUGUCCAUUAAAUUUUAUGCCGAAUUUACAGCAUACGAUCAGCCCAAUUUUGCCGUCACAGACAUCAUAAAACAAUUCUUUGGUCAUGAGUUAAAAUCGGAGGUCUUAGAAUACAUAUGAUGCUCUCAUCAGUGACCGAUUUGGUGCCACUGUGACCAAAGACAGCCGACGACAAGGUUCUGGCAGCAAACUUUAUUAUCUCAAGCACACUUGGAAGAAUAUUUCUGUUUAUGUGACCCCGUUUUAAGCACAAGCCCAGAACCCACUGAUUGUUAAUGUACAACCCCAAUAAAUAAAAACAGAAUGCAAUGAUUUGCAAAUGUCAUAAACCCAUAUGUUAUUCACAGUAGAACAUAGAAAACAUAUCAAAUGUUUCAACUGAGUAAAUGUACCAUUUUAAGGUAAUUUUGAAUUUGAUGGCCGCAGCACGUCUCAAAAGUUGGGACAGGGGCAACAAAAGGCUGGAAAAGUAAAUGUUAUUAAAAAGGAACAGCUGGAGGUUAAUUGGCCUUAUUUUUUUUUUCUUAAAGCUGUUUUUUUUUUUUUACCUUAUUUUUUUCUUAAAAUGGUACGUUUCCUCAGUUUAAACAUUUGAAAUGUUUUCUGUGUUCUAUUGUGAAUAACAUUAUCAUGGGUUCAUGAGAUUUGCAAAAUCAUUGCCUUCUGUUUUCAUUUACAUUUUGCACAGCAUCCCAACUUUUUUGGAAUUGGGGUUGUAAGCAGAAUGUAGUCAUUGUUUUAAUGGCAGGUCUAUCGUUAGGUUAUCUUUAUCAUAUAAUCUUAAUAAUCAUAAUAAUUCAACAUGGAAUAAUGCAAAAAAUAAAAUCCAUACAUACUGCAUAUUGACAUGCUUUGUUGGGGUCAGAAGAGAAUUCCCAGACUGGUUCGAGCUCACAUGAAAGCUACAGUAACUCAGAUAACAGUUGUGAGCAGAAAAGCAUCUCAACACAUGUCAAGUCUUGAGGCAGACGGGCAGCAGAAGACCACAUUGAGUUCAGUGGAGAACAGAAAUCUAAGGCUAUAGUGGCCACACGUUCACUGAAACUGCACAGAAUAAGAUUGGCAAAAGACCAUGUAAUGUUCUUCCAAUGUACAACUGUCUAAUUUUGGUGAACCUGUGUGCAAUAAACAAAAUGAUCUGCCAAAGGAACACACCAAUUUAAAAUCAGUAAAGUGUCUAAUAGGCUCUAUAAUAUUAGAUUUAUUUCACUGUUAUCUUAAUAAUUGGAAAUAUUAGAUCAAUUCAUCUAUAUUCGAGAUAUUAUCCGUGCUAAGAUUAGUUGUUGCAUUAUUCCAUUUUUUUUUUAUUAGAUCCCAAACCUCUACUAAACCUAGUGACUUUUAUCAUUACAUAGGUUUAAUUUGUGAAGAAUGUGUUGUGACUGACAGCAGGGUAAGCAGAGGACUAUUACAGGCAGAGUUCCCUUCUCUUACCUGCUCACAGCAGGAAUGGAAAUCAAGUGGUAGAAUGCUGUUUUGGAUUAAACACUAGAAAGCAAACUUGUAGUAACACACACUUCCCAUAGUUUAAAGCACAUAAAAAGCAAUUAAUGUCUGCUCUGGGAAAUUAAGUGGGGAAUUAAAACAUAAAUAGAAAAUGACACGCUGGAAAUUACACUAGUUCUCCAUAAAUGACUGUCUAAUUCAAAAGACUGACCUAUGUCUGUGUGUGUGUGCUAUAUGCAAAUAUAAUUUUAAUAGUUGAAGAAAGACAACAUUCAUUGUGUGUGUGUCCCACUGGAAAAAUAGCCAGGGGGCAGAAACAACUCUGUCAAUAGUAUAAAAUCCUUUGCUUCUGGAUGUAACAACUUUAAUUAAAUUCAUCCAGGUUGUGUGUGGCCGUAAUCCUUAUCUCUCAAACUGUUUAAAAUUUGAAAUAAUGAGGUUGGUUUUAGGGCACGGCUCUAAAAUAAUAGGUCUGUACCUCUUUGUAAUGGUGGUUUGCCACAAAACACCACAAAGAACCCAAGGGGAAGUCAAGGUUACAUUCUUUCCUCAGCAACCUGGUAUUACAGUACAGUAAGUUUGGAAUACCAAAAUCCUGAAAGGACUGUAGGAUUAAAAAACAAAACAAAACAAAACAAAACAACAACAAAAAAAACACAAAAAAAACUUUCAAAAGGAUUUGUUUCUGCUUCCAGUAUCAAUUCCUUUUCUUCAUUUUAUUACUACAACUUUAUUAGCAUAAUGUGAUUUUUACACAGUUUUUUUUUUACAAGACAAAGUGUCUGCCAAACAGUGUACAUAAUACAUAUUAUUACGCAGUAUUCAAAGAUAAGUGUGUGUGCGUUGGGGGGGGUUGUGUUUGGGCUGGGUUAUUAAAGAGGGCUGGCUAUUUUCUGCAAUAUGUCUUGUGCACUGGGGCCAUGCUGUACCAGGGAAGGCUACUGCAGUGUUCAUUCACUGUCUCUGCUUCCUCUGUGUAGUAAUCAGACAGCCAUUAGAGAUGGCAGCAAAAGCCAUCUUUUUUUUUUUCCCCUGUGUCCUUAGAUGAACUAGUAUCCAAUUUGCCCCCCCCCUCUCUCUCUCUCUCUCUCUCCCUCUCUCUCUGAAAUCCAUUUUCGUACAAUCGCCUCUGCUUUCUCUCAUUCUCAAUUCAAUUCAACAACGCUUUAUUGGGAUAAAUGCUGCUAGUUAUAUUCUGGUCAGACCAGUUAAUAUAUCCAUACAGAUGAGAAAAAACACCUGACAUUUUAAUAAUUUUAUUUUAAGCAGGUCUUUGAGGAAUUGCUUCACUGGUUGUCCUAGAUAAGUGGAAAGAGCUCACAAACCAGACAGUAUUGGAGUUUGUUUUGGUUUUUAACAGCAAUUCUGUUAAAUAAUCUCUCUCUCUCUCUCUCUCUCUCUCUCUCUCUCUCUCUCUCUCUCUCUCUCUAUCUAUCUAUCUAUUAUUGCUGAGGCAAAAAUCCAACUGACUGGCUGGUCAGUGAUUUAUAAUAAAAUAAAUUGGUGUUGCUAGUUUGUUAAUAUUUUCAAAUUCAUUUUCACUCUAUUUUGAAUACUGAAUAGUAGAUAGUAUUGUCCUAAUAUAGCCUUUUCAGUGUUUUUCCUCUGCAUUUUGAGGAAAUGUUUACAGAAUUUGGCAUGCAGGGUUUCAACUGGGUGUUUGUUAUAGCUUGGGACAUCAGAUUAAUUCACAUCAAACCAAAACUUGCACAUGUAUGUGUUGCAGUAUGAGAGUUGCUUAAGUAUUUUAUCUGAAAUUUACAAUGAAAAAAAUUGACAUAAACUACUAUACUAUGCUCUCACUCUCUUGAUUUGUUCUCUUCUUGAGAACUCUAUUUCUAUUGUAGUAUAUGUAAUAUGUACUUCACCGCAUUGCCUCAUUCAUGACCCAAAUAAAUAUUAGCGAGAAUUUGUUCACAUACAGUACACCUUCAGACCAUCUCUGUCCACGCCUGAAUCGCUGCUGUUCUCUGCCACUUUCAUCCCUCUUUUACUUUCUCUCUUCUGCCUCUUAUUUUCCCUCUCAAGCUGAUGGAAGAGGGUGGGGUCAAUCUGCACCAGUUGCCAUGACACCAGACAGCCCUUGCUUGGUGAAGGCACGUAGUUUCCUCUGUUCUAUUUCCCCAGAGCUUUCUACGGGGGAGAGUAUGUGUCUGUGUGUGACAGCAUUGAGCGAGAAAAAAGACAGAGACAACAAGUGUGUGCUUCACAUGUCAGUUAUGUUAAAUGACAAAUCGUUCAAAUGUGAAGUCUGCAGGUAGUAUGUAAUAAGGUAAUGAGACACCUCUCAUUUAGGAAAGCUCUGUCCUUCUAAGCUAUACCAUGGCAGAAAAAAGUGAUACCAUUUAAUGGUUGCUACUGAAAUACUUCAGAAAAUAUUUUACAUUCUGACCAAUACAUCACUGGUACACACUCGUGAUUGCACUAGAGAAGCAGACUCUUUCUCUCUCUCUCUCUCCCUCUCUCUGCGCUAUCUAUCCCAAAGCAGGAGCACUGAUGAAUAAUUUAGCAGUUGAUAUUUGCAGCCAUCUGUUUCUCUUUUCCUCGCCAUCAGUCUUACUCGCAAUGUUCUUUUACGCUGUGCCGUGUCACCAAACAAGAAGUACUGCAAUAAGAGGGAGGGGGUCUCACACCACUGACCAGGACUGGAUUCAUUACAACACUGAGCGUCUGUGUCUCUGAGGUGCUCAUCAUGGAGAACUCAUUAAUCAUUCAUGAAUCAUUUCACACCUGUAAUUCGCCAUGGGUAUUUAAGGUUUAUUCUUAAUUAGCAUAUAUUUAAUUAAUCUGUGCAUUAUCCGUUUUGAUGAAACACCGUAACACUUUCACUUGUACUUGCAUCACUAUGAACUUUGUUGUUUCCCUUCUCAAAUGCUAUCUGUAAUAAAUAUAAAUCAACAGAAACAUUUCAGCUGUAAUGAAUGGGUAUGGACUUCCUGCUGUGUCAAAUCUAUUGCAUGGAAAGAGGUGUGAAAUUGGCGUUUCAUAUGACUUGUAUGCAUUAACUAGUUAACUCUUUGCACUAACGGCCAGUGACCAAUAGAGGGAGACGCAGAGCCCACAGCCCGGGCCACAAUCUUGUGCUUUUAUUUAGCGCCAUUUAAUGAAAACACUUAAGACUGGCCUGUUAUUUGAGUACACCAGAUACUAUUUGAAAAUAAUAUUUCAUGUCAUAAUUUUGCUGAGGAAGCCAUAAUUAUACUAUAGAGAGGACCAGAACAAACAAAUAAACUGGAGUGGAGUUCGUUGGAGAGACUCCUAAAUGAUCUAAAUGAUGACCGUAAAGGACUCCAGCCUUUGGUCAAACAGUGUCUCCUUUCUCCCAAAAUUACAGCUUGUGCAGAUCAAGCUCUUGGUGGACAGCCAGCACAAGCGGAGUCUUUGUUCAGGUGAAAUUCCUCAGUACUAUCUGCACCCCCACCAAAGUCUGUGGCUGCCUUUGGUUUAAUUAGGUCUCCUGGAGCGGGCAUCAAACCACCUCCCACUCCCACCACCCCUCCAACCCAACCCUGAAUUAUUCCCACACAGAAGCAACUGGAACAGCAAGACAAUAAGAGCUCCAGUAAAAGCAAAGGUGUAUCCACAGCAUCUCCCUCUAGCAGUGUGCUGUGUUCAGGAAUGCAACACUACCACUGAAAUAUGCAUCCAGACUAUGCAGUCGCACUGCUGAUUGCAAAUGCAGGUUUCUGAAAAUAAAACAAGAGAUGAUGGCUGGUGGAAAACUGGGCCAGCACCGAGUUCAGGUGCAUGUGUGUGUGAGGUUAAAGACCAAGUCGUGUUAUCCCCAAUGACACUAACAGCAGCUCCUGUCCUCCAGAAAGAGUAGGUUUGAUAGACUAUGGCGUGGGGUUUAUAAGUGUGAUUCUUCUAUGUACGCUAAAAAUGGCAGAGCUCAAACCGGCACGGGAGGGAGGAGGUCAAACGUUCAUUUUACACUGCCUUUACACAAACUGACAGAUGCUGUCUGCUUUGAUCUAUCUUUAGCCUAUCCACACCUAUCUGUGGGCCACUGUCCGGAAAGCUACUUAGAGAUUCUGCCUGUUCUAGACCCCUAAGAGUGCCCAUACAGAAUGCAAUCGCCCAGAAAGACUGGGGGAAGGGUGGACUACAUUCAGCACAACUGACUAAUUGCACGGCACUGUGGGAAACACAGAUGUAAUGCAUUUGUAGUAUUCCUGUUAAAGCCUAUGUAACAGUGUCAGCAGAGGAAGAGACUGACGCUGAAUGAGUAAGAGAGUAGACACUGAGAAUGAGAGAGAGAGCGAGAGAGAGAGAGAGAGACACACACACACACACACACAAACACACACAGAAGGGACAGACAGACAUAGCCUGAGAGGAGCACAAUGGCGGCGGUGGUAGCAGCAGGAGCAAGAAGAAAUGUGCCAGAGCAGAGCGGGAUGUGCGCUCUCUCGUCCCGAGCACACCGCGGCCAAGCUGAACUGAGUGAACUACAUCCGAGUGCUUGCCAUGAGCAGCAGAGAUGAAGACAUUGGAUUCUACAGUCCCUGUAAUCGAAAUAAACACUACAGUUUCCUGCCGUGCUCCCGCUUGGUCAGGUCCGGACUCGCUGUACUGUCAGAGAGAAGCAGGUUGGUGCAGAGGCAGCUGCUGGGGGUUUUUGGUUGUUGUCUCUACUGUGCUUUAUGAAUCCCUCCUGCUUCUGUACACAGUUGCAGCACAAUGACUUUCUAACUCCCCCCACCCUUCAUCCCCAUCAGCACCUGCAAGUGGAAAAGUAAGUAUAAGAAGUGGCAAC
ensembl:lncRNA